rnacentral:rRNA from 1 species
UGAACGCUGGCGGCGUGCCUAACACAUGCAAGUCGAACGAAGCUUGACGGAUGAUUUCUUCGGAAUGAAACCAGAUAUGACUUAGUGGCGGACGGGUGAGUAACACGUGAGCAACCUGCCUUUCAGAGGGGGAUAACGGCUGGAAACGGUCGCUAAUACCGCAUGAAGUGUUCGGAUGGCAUCAUCUGAACAUCAAAGAUUUAUCGCUGAAAGAUGGGCUCGCGUCUGAUUAGAUAGUUGGUGGGGUAACGGCCCACCAAGUCGACGAUCAGUAGCCGGACUGAGAGGUUGAUCGGCCACAUUGGGACUGAGACACGGCCCAGACUCCUACGGGAGGCAGCAGGUGGGGGAUAUUGGACAAUGGGGGAAACCCUGAUCCAGCGAUGCCGCGUGAGGGAAGAAGGUUUUCGGAUUGUAAACCUCUGUGGACAGGGACGAUAAUGACGGUACCUGUUUAGAAAGCCACGGCUAACUACGUG